UACGUAGGGUGCGAGCGUUGUCCGGAAUUAUUGGGCGUAAAGAGCUCGUAGGCGGUCUGUCGCGUCGAUCGUGAAAACUUGGGGCUUAACCCUGAGCUUGCGGUCGAUACGGGCAUGACUGGAGUUCGGCAGGGGAGACUGGAAUUCCUGGUGUAGCGGUGAAAUGCGCAGAUAUCAGGAGGAACACCGGUGGCGAAGGCGGGUCUCUGGGCCGAUACUGACGCUGAGGAGCGAAAGCGUGGGAAGCGAACAGG
rnacentral:rRNA from 1 species